rnacentral:rRNA from 1 species
UACGUAGGUGACCAGCGUUGUCCGGAUUUACUGGGCGAAGAGCGCGCAGGCGGUCGUUCAAGUCGAGUGUGAAAGCCCCCCGGCUCAACUGGGGAGGGUCACUCGAUACUGAUCGACUCGAAGGCAGGAGAGGGAAGUGGAAUUCCUGGUGUAGCGGUGAAAUGCGCAGAUAUCAGGAGGAACACCAAUGGCGAAGGCAGCUCGCUGGGACGGUACUGACGCUGAGACGCGAAAGCGUGGGGAGCAAACAGG